rnacentral:rRNA from 1 species
UGAGGAAUAUUGGUCAAUGGGGCGUAAGCCUGAACCAGCCAAGUCGCGUGAGGGAAGACGGUCCUACGGAUUGUAAACCUCUUUUGCCGGGGAGCAACGGGGUCCUUGCGAGGGCCUUAUGAGAGUACCCGGAGAAAAAGCAUCGGCUAACUCCGUGCC